AGUUACAACACAAUGAAUGUCAUUAGUAAUGUAGUUCUUGGAGGGAUUUUGAUAAUAGUAACAGUACCUUUUAUUCUGUCAGAUUUGAAGUGCACAGGAUUCAAAAAAUGUUGCUCGGGGUAUUUAUGGAAUGAAACUUUGAAAGAAUGCACGCGUUGCCAGGUAGGUUAUUAUGCAAAGAAUUGCAGAUUACGAUGCCCAUACCCAAGUUUUUGAGCGGAAUGUCAGAAUGAGUGCAAAUGCACAGAGGGCUUGUGCGAUUUUGCUUUUGGAUGUGUAUUACUCCAAGAAAAUGGCUCAUCCCCAGCUUCCUUUAUAUUGCUGAAUACAUCAACUGAUAAUUCAACUCUGGUGCCAUUUUUUGAAGAGCCUAGCAGUACCUUAUAUAAAUGGCUAUUUCUAGGAACUCUUGUGCUUUGUGUUUUCCUUGGAACUUGUGUUUUAAUUUUAUUUCUUAAGCAUUACUGCAAGAAACCCAUACAUCAAGGAGUAUACCAAGACAUUUUCGUAAGCAGAAUUAAUGAAAUACAGAAUAUUUACGAUUCUUGUAACUAGAACGGGCGAUGUGAUCUAAUUUAUGGAAAACACACAAUUUAAAUUUAAGUGUAUUCUAUAUUACUUUUUUUAAAUGCGGAAAGUUUUGUAGAUGUGUAAUAUACAUGUGCAUUGUACCUACUAUUACCAAAAUGUUAAAUAAGAUCAGCAGUCUAC